rnacentral:rRNA from 1 species
UAGCAAUACUAGGUUGAGCCAGUGGCGAACGGGUGCGUAACACGUGAGUCAUCUGCCUGAAAGUGGGGGAUAGCUCGCCGAAAGGCGAAUUAAUACCGCAUGUGCCCCGAAGCAAUUCGGGGUAAAGCCGGGGCAACCUGGCGCUUUUAGAUGAGCUCGCGGCCUAUCAGCUUGUUGGUAAGGUAACGGCUUACCAAGGCUUCGACGGGUAGCUGGUCUGAGAGGACGACCAGCCACACUGGAACUGAGACACGGUCCAGACACCUACGGGUGGCAGCAGUCGAGAAUUUUUCUCAAUGGGGGAAACCCUGAAGGAGCGACGCCGCGUGGAGGAUGAAGGCUUUCGGGUUGUAAACUCCUGUCAUUUGGGAACAAUACCUUACGUUAACUGCGUGGAGGUUUGAUAGUACCAGAAGAGGAAGAGACGGCUAACUCUGUGCCAGCAGCCGCGGUAAUACAGAGGUCUCGAGCGUUGUUCGGAUUCAUUGGGCGUAAAGGGCGCGUAGGCUGCGGGGCAAGUCGGGUGUGAAAUCUCAGAGCUCAACUCUGAAACUGCACUCGAUACUGCUUUGCUAGAGGACUGGAGAGGAGAUUGGAAAUUCUCGGUGUAGCA